AGAGCGAACGCUGGCGGCGUGCUUAACACAUGCAAGUCGAGUGCGCGUCCGUAGCAAUACGGAUGGCGCACGGCGCACGGGUGCGUAACACGUGGGCAAUCUGCCCUCGGAUGGGGGAUAACUCGCCGAAAGGCGAGCUAAUACCGCAUGACAUUCCCAGGACUCCGGUCCAGGGACUCAAAGGCCGCAAGGCCGUCUGAGGAGGAGCCCGCGCCCGAUUAGCUAGUUGGUGAGGUAACGGCUCACCAAGGCUUUGAUCGGUA
rnacentral:rRNA from 1 species